AAAAUAAAGCGCUUCUUUUAACUUUUAGACUUGCCUCGUUGUCAUCUGAUUUUUGAGCUACAACAUUUGGGGGCUUGUCCGGGAUCCCUAAAGGCCUCUUCUUUUUGACGCGUUGCCCUGGGCCU